UACGAAGGGGGCUAGCGUUGUUCGGAAUUACUGGGCGUAAAGCGCGCGCAGGCGGCUAUCCAAGUCAGUGGUGAAAGCCCGGAGCUUAACUCCGGAACUGCCAUUGAAACUGUUUAGCUUGAGGACGAGAGAGGUGAGUGGAAUUCCCAGUGUAGAGGUGAAAUUCGUAGAUAUUGGGAAGAACACCGGUGGCGAAGGCGGCUCACUGGCUCGUAACUGACGCUCAUGCACGACAGCGUGGGGAUCAAACAGG
rnacentral:rRNA from 1 species